rnacentral:rRNA from 1 species
AUUGAACGCUGGCGGCAGGCCUAACACAUGCAAGUCGAGCGAGCGGCGGACGGGUGAGUAAUGUAUGGGGACUGCCCGAUAGAGGGGGAUAACUACUGGAAACGGUGGCUAAUACCGCAUACUAUCGGAUAACCCAUAUGGGAUUAGCUAGUAGGUGGGGUAAAGGCUCACCUAGGCGACGAUCUCUAGCUGGUCUGAGUGGAUGAUCAGCCACACUGGGACUGGGACACGGCCCAGAGUCCUACGGAGGCAGCAGUGGGGAAUAUUGCCCAAUGGUCGCUAGCCUGAUGCAUCCAGGCCGGGCGUAUGAAGAAGGCCUUAGGGUCGUAAAGUACUUUCAGCGGGGAGACGUUACCCGCAGAAGAAGCACCGGCUAACUCCGUGCCAGCAGCCGCGGUAAUUC